rnacentral:rRNA from 1 species
GUUUUCUNAUGCAACGUAAAGACCUUUACCUAGUCUUUUCAUAGUAAGAAGGGGGGGAGGUGGCUCCGCGCCUUCGGGAGCUUACAUACAGGUNANGCAUAGAAAUCGUCAGCUCGUGUCGUGAGAUGUUGGGUUAAGUCCCGCAACGAGCGCAACCCUUUUCCUUAUUUGCCAGCACUUUGGGUGGGAACUUUAAGGAUACUGCCAGUGACAAACUGGAGGAAGGCGGGGACGACGUCAAGUCAUCAUGGCCCUUACGACCAGGGCUACACACGUGCUACAAUGGUCGGUACAAAGGGUUGCUACCUAGCGAUAGGAUGCUAAUCUCAAAAAGCCGAUCGUAGUCCGGAUUGGAGUCUGCAACUCGACUCCAUGAAGUCGGAAUCGCUAGUAAUCGCGGAUCAGAAUGCCGCGGUGAAUACGUUCCCGGGCCUUGUACACACCGCCCGUCACACCAUGGGAGUUUGUUGCACCCAGAAAGUGGGAUAGUCUAAU